GGUUUCUUAGUGUAGUGGUCAACACAUAAAUGGAAUUUUUCAAUGAAAGACGUCAGUUCGAAUCUGGCAGAAACCG